rnacentral:rRNA from 1 species
ACUUGGACGUCAAAAUCCUCGAACUUAUAGCCCGCCGUUUAGAGACUGUUGUGGAUUGAGGUGCUGAAGCGCGCGCUCUAAGCUCUUGAUGCGUCGACCGCUGUUGGGUUCGCCGCCGUUGGGGAACAAAGUUCCGUUUCGGUCGGCAGCCUGCACUCGGACGUCGCUCAUUUGUCGCGCUCGGGAUUCUGACGAAAUGGUCGUCAUUCACCCGUCUUGAAACACGGACCAAGGGAGUCUUACAUAUAUGCGAGUAAUCGAGUGGAAAACCUCGCUUGCGCACUAACAGGAUUCCCCUAGUAACGGCGAGUGAAGCGGGAUGAGCUCAAAUUUAAAAUCUGGCUGGUUUACUAGUCCGAAUUGUAGUUUAUAGAAGCGUUUUCGGUGGCAGCCUGGGUAUAAAUCCUUUGGAAUAGGGUAUCAUAGAGGGUGAGAAUCCCGUCUUUGACUCAGUGCAUGCUACUAUGUGAUACGUUUUCAAAGAGUCGAGUUGUUUGGGAAUGCAGCUCAAAAUGGGUGGUAAAUUUCAUCUAAAGCUAAAUAUUGGCGAGAGACCGAUAGCGAACAAGUACCGUGAGGGAAAGAUGAAAAGAACUUUGAAAAGAGAGUUAAACAGUGCGUGAAAUUGUUGAAAGGGAAACGUUUGACACCAGUUAUGCGGGUGGAAAAUCAGUCUUUUGCAAUGGGGAGUUGUGGGCGUUCAGACCGCAAGGCUGGCGUUUGCUUCAUCUUUGUUGUAAGUGAUGCACUUUUUCAUUUGCAGGUCAACAUCAGUUUGCUUUGCUGGACAAAACCCCAAGGGAAGGUGGCAGCUUAGGCUGUGUUAUAGCCCUGGGGCGAUACAGUGGAGUGGACUGAGGUUUCGCAGUGUGUGCUCUCGGGCAAGGCUGACUGGGUGCUAUGGGAUCGUUCGGCGUACAAUGCAUGCAUUUUGCGUCGUGUCUUUUUCAUACUCGCUCAACUCG